ACGCUCGACACCUACGGAAGGCAGCAGUGAGGGAUAUUCGGCAAUGGGGGAAACCCUGACCGAGCAACGCCGCGUGAGGGAAGACGGUUUUCGGAUUGUAAACCUCUGUCCUCUGUGAAGAUAGUGACGGUAGCAGAGGAGGGAGCUCCGGCUAACUACGUACCACGCAGCCGCGGUAAUCUGAGCGGGCUGGCAAGGC
rnacentral:rRNA from 1 species